UUGGAGGGCAAGUCUGGUGCCAGCAGCCGCGGUAAUUCCAGCUCCAAUAGCGUAUAUUAAAGUUGUUGCAGUUAAAAAGCUCGUAGUUGAAUUUCGGGACCAAUAUAUCGGUCAUGCUUAGGUAUGUACUGGUAUUAUUGAUUUCUCCCUUCUGAAGAACCAUGAUGUCAUUUAUUUGAUGUCGUGGGGAAUCAGGACUGUUACUUUGAAAAAAUUAGAGUGUUUAAAGCAGGCUUUCGCUUGAAUACAUUAGCAUGGAAUAAUGAAAUAGGACGUUUGAUUCUAUUUUGUUGGUUUCUAGGAUCGACGUAAUGAUUAAUAGGGAUAGUUGGGGGCAUUAGUAUUCAAUUGUCAGAGGUGAAAUUCUUGGAUUUAUUGAAGACUAACUACUGCGAAAGCAUUUGCCAAGGAUGUUUUCAUUAAUCAAGAACGAAAGUUAGGGGAUCGAAGACGAUCAGAUACCGUCGUAGUCUUAACCAUAAACUAUGCCGACUAGGGAUCGGAUGAUGUUAUUUUUAAUGACUCAUUNGGCGCCUUACGGGAAACCAAAGUGUUUGGGUUC
rnacentral:rRNA from 1 species